rnacentral:rRNA from 1 species
UACGUAGGGUGCAAGCGUUGUCCGGAAUUAUUGGGCGUAAAGAGCUCGUAGGCGGUGUGUCACGUCGGCCGUGAAAACCUGCAGCUUAACUGUGGGCGUGCGGUCGAUACGGGCAUCACUGGAGUUCGGCAGGGGAGACUGGAAUUCCUGGUGUAGCGGUGAAAUGCGCAGAUAUCAGGAGGAACACCGGUGGCGAAGGCGGGUCUCUGGGCCGAUACUGACGCUGAGGAGCGAAGGCGUGGGGAGCAAACAGG